UACGGAGGGUGCGAGCGUUGCUCGGAAUUAUUGGGCGUAAAGCGUACGCAGGCGGCUCGGCAAGUCGAGUGUGAAAUCCCGGGGCUCAACUCCGGAACUGCAUCCGAUACUGCCGGGCUUGAGUGCGGGAGAGGGAAGCGGAAUUCCUGGUGUAGAGGUGAAAUUCGUAGAUAUCAGGAGGAACACCGGUGGCGAAAGCGGCUUCCUGGCCCGACACUGACGCUCAUGGUACGAAAAGCGUGGGGAGCAAACAGG
rnacentral:rRNA from 1 species